ACUUUACUCUGUGUGUUUUGGAGAAAGAGGCAGUCUUUGGCAUGUUGCCAGUCCUUGAGACCACCAGUAAGCCUCCAGUUUUCACAUGAUGACCGAUAAUAACCUCGGAUCAGGGCCAGGCUACAGCCAGCAGAUUAGCGUUAGGCAAAGAAAGAGGAAGCGCAAAGCGAAGCCUCCAAGAGCAACAAACCACACGUGUUCAUGCUUGAACAUGCUGAGUGAAGCCUGCAGUAAUGCUGACAGAAUUCUACUCGAAUGUUGAGUUGCAACAAUGAACUCUGCACUUUUACUUUCAGAAGUAACUCCGCUGGCUACUUUGUCCUUCGCUUCUACAUCACUCAGUGAGCCGAAUGUUGGAAAAAGCAGCAGUGCAUACGGCUGCUGAAGGAAUAUAUAUAUAUAUAUAUAUAUAUAUAUAUAUAUAUAUAUAUAUAUAUAUAUAUAUAUAUAUAUAUAUAUAUAAGAUUCAGGGCUUUUCACUCUGCUGCAAGAAAGCUCUUUGUUUCCCCCCUGCACAAAGUUCCUCAAAAUGAACUCACACAUCCACAUACAUGCAUGCUGUGAAAGAAAAAAAAAUAAAGCAUGGAAUUAUUGCACAGUAAACUUUUGUCCUCCGACAUCCCUGUUGUAUAUUUAGACACCCCGUGACUUGUCCUCACAUGCCAGAAACGGAGUAUAGAUCUUAUCUGUGCUUCAUGUGUAGAUUGAAUGCUUUUGCUAGAACUAUCUGAUUAUUCACUUUUGUGAAAAAGAUUAGACUGGUUGCACAAAGGGAAGUGGGUUAAAGGGCAUGUAUGCAGUAAACAACAUAUUACUUGCACAAGACAAUGGCGUUUCUGCAAAAAACGUUUUUAUUCAAGACGGAAUCAAAUUGAUAUUGACAGCAGAAAUUUAUUCAGCUCACACGAUCACUAAUCACCUGUAGAUAUCUGGCAGUUAUUUUGGCAGUACUACAAUAUGUUUUAAUGGAUUAUGGAUGUAUUUAAAUGUCAAGAAAUCUGAUAGACACCUGGAUUUUAUCCCAAUAGUCAGGUUAUGUAUACUUUUAUUUAUUUAUUUAUUUAUUGGUUGUAUUUAACAUGUGCACUAUUAUAGCUAAGAUAUGCAGAAUAAAGUUUGAAAUGUUUUAAUUAUUCAUAGAUGGAAGAAAGAAGGCAUUUUGCAACCAUAAAUCAUUCCAAUAAACUUGUUACCAGUCACAUGAAAUCCAGAAGAGCAUGAUGGGUUAGGAAUGGAUGUAAUUAUAAAGCUGAAACAACUUACUCUGUAAUGCUCACUAUUAGACUUCUCAACACAAUCAUGUGAUUAAACCAAGUCACCAUUAUGCCAUGAUUUACAGUUUUAAUUUCUAUAUUAACCGAGGCUCAGAUCUUUAACCAAAGUUUUAGUUUAGCUCUUACUGGAAGGUAGUUUUGCAGCUUGUAGGGAUUUUCCCGAAAAGAAGUCUGAUCAUCGAUCGAAUCCUUGCUGCUGUUUUCUGGCGUACAAGCAAACACGCUCAGGCUUUCAUUUAUUAAGAUCCUAAAUAACGAGUGCUAAUUUGCGUGAGCAAUCGGAUUAAUUGUGCAAGUGGGUCUGCUGUGGUUGAUUUACCAAGAAUAAUUAGGUGCAUGACAUCAUGUACAACACUGGAGGAGGACACAGUAUGUAAAUAAGGCGUUGCAUGUUCUUAAUAGCCUCAAUGAGUGUGGAAAAAGAAACUCCUGGAAAAGAGAGAGAGAAAGAGAGAGACUUCUGAUUUCCACAAAAUCACAAGUUAGAUGAACUAGAUAUCAUUCGUUUUAAUUUUGGUACGACUUUAUUCCAAAAAUUUGAAGGAGGCUUUCACUCAUACUGAUUUGCGCCUGCAGUCUAGUACAUUGCUUAUAAAACUAACCAAUUUGCUCAGGCACCACCCUGUAGAAACAUCCCCAACUGCAUCUUCAUUUCAGCCAAACGCAUUUCAUUACAAAUUUUGCUCAUGCAAAAGAUGCAAUCCUUAGUGAUUCUCGUUAGUAAAUCAGUGUGCAUGCUUUUUGUGGUUGAUAUCAAGCUUACACAUUCUUACACACACUAACAUUUAUUUAAAGGUCAAGGUUUAACGAACUUUGUCAUAUGCACAAGCUUCCUUUAACGAUGAACUUUGCACAUUCUUACUGAUGCUGCAGUAGAAAACUAGGGAUAAAUAACAAAUAAGAGAACAAUAGAAGAACUCGUGGAAUAAGUUGUGGAAGAGAUUCAGCAUGCUCUCAUGUGAUGUGUUUCCAUGACAUUGUAUUGUAGCUGUUCAUUGUUCAUUGUUUUAAAUAAAGACGUUUUACUCACA